GGGCGGAUAGCUCAGUUGGGAGAGCGCGGUCCUUACAAGGCUGAGGUCACAGGUUCAAUCCCUGUUCCGCCUACCA
rnacentral:tRNA from 1 species